rnacentral:rRNA from 1 species
GACGAACGCUGGCGGCGCGCUUAACACAUGCAAGUCGAGCGAGAACCAUGGCUUCGGCCAUGGGGACAGCGGCGAACGGGUGAGUAACACGUGGGUAAUCUGCCCUCGACACUGGGAUAGCCCGGGGAAACCCGGAUUAAUACCGGAUGGCCUCUCGAGCUCUUGGGCUCGCGAGAAAAGGUAGCUUCGGCCUCCGGUCGAGGAGGAGCCCGCGGCGGAUUAGCUUGUUGGUGGGGUAAUGGCCCACCAAGGCGACGAUCCGUAGCUGGUGUGAGAGCAUGACCAGCCACACUGGGACUGAGACACGGCCCAGACUCCUACGGGAGGCAGCAGUGGGGAAUCUUGCGCAAUGGGCGAAAGCCUGACGCAGCGACGCCGCGUGCGGGAAGAAGGCCUUCGGGUUGUAAACCGCUUUCAGGAGGGACGAAGCCACUCGGGUUAAUAGCCCAGAGGGUGACGGUACCUCCAGAAGAAGCCCCGGCUAACUACGUGCCAGCAGCCGCGGUAAUACGUAGGGGGCGAGCGUUGUCCGGAUUUAUUGGGCGUAAAGCGCGUGUAGGCGGCUUGGUAGGUCUGCUGUGAAAACUCGGGGCUCAACCCCGAGACGUCGGUGGAAACCACCUGGCUAGAGUCCGGAAGAGGAGAGUGGAAUUCCUGGUGUAGCGGUGAAAUGCGCAGAUAUCAGGAAGAACACCCGUGGCGAAGGCGGCUCUCUGGGACGGUACUGACGCUGAGACGCGAAAGCGUGGGGAGCGAACAGGAUUAGAUACCCUGGUAGUCCACGCCGUAAACGAUGGGUGCUAGGUGUGGGUGGUGUCGACUCCAUCCGUGCCGAAGCUAACGCAUUAAGCACCCCGCCUGGGGAGUACGGCCGCAAGGCUAA